GAAAGCAAUUAUAGAAGUUUAAUCUGUUUAAAAAGGUCUAAAGUUAGUUUUUGAUUUAUUUUACUAUAUUUAUUUAUGAUGAAUUUAUUGGGUGUAUUUUUAUUAUUAUUUUAUGCCUAAGCAAAUGUAUAUUGUAAGGCAUUUUUUUAUUUGUUAGUUGUCUGUGUGAUGACAUUGUGGUCCCUAUUAAACAGAUUAAAUAAUGCAUAAUGUAAAUGUACAAAGCUAAAAGGUUUCUGUACAACUUAGUUUUAAAGUUAAGUGGUAAAAUAUCAUUGGCUCAGUAUAAAAACAAUAAGGAAAAUGUGUGUUAGCAACUAAGACUUCUUGUAAUGUUCAUCAUUCUGUCAAAUGAUGUCAAAAAGUAUGGAAACAGCACCAGGCUCUUCAUUUAUUAAUCAUAUCCUUUUUGAGGUGUUAUAUUUAAGAGAGUGCUUGCUGCACAAUGUACCUCACUGUAAUUUAUUAUGCUAGACUUGUUCUUCCCCGGCAUCCUCUCCUUCAGGGCUGUUUGUCCUCUAUCUGAGCCUAGGGCAAAGUUUAAAUGGCCACAAGUGUCUCAAUCUGCCUGCUACAAGAUAUAAUGAUAAAAAUAUAGACUAGCGUACACUUUUGAAAAAUCAAUAUAGCACAGGUCUGUGUGUAAAGAAAGCAGAAGUCACGUGAGAUUAGUAUCAUCAGCCUAUUAUCUGAACUUUCUGUGAACAGUAAAAAAAAAAAAAAAAAAAAAAAAAAACAAAGGUCACAUUCAAAUUUAGAUAUUGAAAAUGAUUCACUCUGCAGUUAUCUGGAGUAUUUUUAGAGAUAUGUCAUCAUAAAAUGUGCUAAUGCAAUUGAUUUUGUUCUCAGUGUUCUAUACAGAAACCUUCACAUGCCGGUCACUAUUGUAUUUCCCCGAAACAGGUCACCUAUUCGACUCUAGCAAGUGACAUCUCCCCUGUGCAUUUCCCUUACCUUUCUAUUUCCAUCUGUCUGUCCUACUUGUCUUUCCUCCAGGUGAACUGUCUAAUUGAGAGCCGUCAAGGGGCAGCUCCCCCACCAUCCCUUUCUUUUCUGGGGGGCAAAUGCUGGUUUCUGUUCCUGCUAGUCCUCUGCCAUCCGCUGUCUGUCCUUGGCUUGACUUUGGUCAGAGGCACACAGCUUUUCACUUCACAAGACAUUGAUUGAUGGACUGGAGUUGUGUGGAUUACUUGUGGAUUAUUUUCAUGUUUUUAUCAGCUGUUUAAACUCUCAUUCUGACGGCACCCAUUCACUGCAGUGGAUCAAGUGAUAUCAUGUUAAAUUUCUCAAAAUCUGUUCUGCUGAAGAAACAUUCUCACCUACAUCUUGGAUGGCCUGAGGGUGAGUAAAUAUUAAGCAAAGUUUUAAUCUCUGGGUGAGCUAUUCUUUUAAGUAACAGGAAACUGACCAUACAGUAUGUGACUUGGCAGCAUGAAUGGGCAGAACAAAUGCACAUCUAUAACUGUGAAUUUGGUUUAGGGCAUGGGAGGUAACUAUGACACUGCACUGUAAAAAAAAAAUAAUAAUAAUAAUAAUAAGUGUAUGACCAUUGAUCAAGGGGUUUUCCACCAAAGACAUUAUAGUCAGGUUGACAAGAGCAGAUGACUUGAAACGUAUCAAAAUGGUGAGUCACUCAUGUCAUUAUGGAAAUUCACCUAAGGCAUCUAACGUUCCACAUGAAACACAUGUGAUAUUUGCAUAGUGAUUCUGCCUGCUGCAUUCAGA
ensembl:lncRNA